UCCCGGGAAGUCCUCGUGUUG
rnacentral:snRNA from 1 species